UACGUAGGGUGCGAGCGUUGUCCGGAAUUAUUGGGCGUAAAGGGCUCGUAGGCGGUUUGUCGCGUCGGGAGUGAAAACUCAGGGCUUAACCCUGAGCCUGCUUCCGAUACGGGCAGACUAGAGGUAUGCAGGGGAGAACGGAAUUCCUGGUGUAGCGGUGGAAUGCGCAGAUAUCAGGAAGAACACCGGUGGCGAAGGCGGCUCUCUGGGCCUUACCUGACGCUGAGGAGCGAAAGCGUGGGUAGCGAACAGG
rnacentral:rRNA from 1 species